CUCGCUGUUGGCGAUAUACUGUCAGCGGCCAAGCGAAAGUAUUAAGUGAUGCACCUGGGGAGUACGCCGGCAACGGUGAAACUCAAAGGAAUUGACGGGGGCCCGCACAAGCGGUGGAGCAUGUGGUUUAAUUCGAUGAUACGCGAGGAACCUUACCAGGGCUUAAAUGUGGUAUGACCGGCUUAGAAAUAGGCCUUCUCUUCGGAGCAGAUUACAAGGUGCUGCAUGGUUGUCGUCAGCUCGUGCCGUGAGGUGUUAGGUUAAGUCCUGCAACGAGCGCAACCCCUAUUCUUAGUUGCCAGCGGUUCGGCCGGGGACUCUAAGAAGACUGCCAGCGCAAGCUGAGAGGAAGGUGGGGAUGACGUCAAAUCAUCACGGCCCUUACGUCCUGGGCUACACACGUGCUACAAUGGUAGAGACAGAGGGCAGCCACCUGGUGACAGGGAGCGAAUCCUUAAACUCUAUCUCAGUUCGGAUCGAAGUCUGCAACUCGACUUCGUGAAGCUGGAAUCGCUAGUAAUCGCGCAUCAGCCAUGGCGCGGUGAACACGUUCCCGGGCCUUGUACACACCGCCCGUCAAGCCAUGGAAGCUGGGGGCACCUGAAGUCGGUAACCGUAAGGAGCCGCCUAGGGUGAAACUGGUAACUAGGGCU
rnacentral:rRNA from 1 species